GUCAGACCUAACAAACGAGAUUCAGUUAGCACAGGUCCAUGCAAGUGUCAUGCGUUCGUACUUAAUUUUUUUAAUCAUCGUUAUCUAAUGAAAUGAAUAUGCAUCAACAAUACCAUUUGAUUGUUUGCUGCAGAAACCACAUGGAAGGAAAAUUAGAGACAAAUUCAUUGCAAAACGCAACCUAAAUGCGUCUAUGCUGGACAGAGAAAGCCACUGGACAGUUUAAUCACUCACGAGCAGUCAUAAGUUCGAGAAGAACAAUAUUACCUAUAACAAGUGAACCACAAAAUGGUUAUUUUUCUUUUGAAAAGAUGAAGAUUCUUCAGUUGCGCAAUUUGUUUCACAUGAUGAUAUGCUCUCACAUAACUUUCAUCUACCUCUGUUGAUGGAGGCAAGUGACAAAUGCAAUGCUUAUUUAGUGGGUAUAACAAGCUGUGACCGGCAUUGGUACCUCUUGAGAGAAGGCUUGUUUCCUUUUUGGUGUACUCGCACCAUGAAUGAGAAGCAUUGGGGAAUUUAUUUCUGCAAAUGAGGUAGCUCUGUUUUCGAGUCGAGCGACUAGUCGCGACUAGUCGUCGAGUCGCAAGAGCAGGAGCGCCUCGGGCUGGCGACUCGACUCCUCGCAUGAGUCGAGCGACUCGAGCGACUAGUCUCGACUAGUCACGACUAGUCGCCAUAAGUGAGUCGAACGACUCAGUUAUUUUGGGCCCCCAACAGUUUUUUGGCCCAUCAGCCCAUCCCAGCACUGGAAAUAUAUAGAUCGAUCCAUCCCCCCUCACCCUGACCUAACCCUUUCCCUGGCGGCUGCCUUCACUCCUUCCCUGUGCUCCUCCCCUUCCUCCUUUGGUUGUUGCUGCUGCUGUGCUCCUCCACUCCUCCCCUGGUUGAUGCUGCUGUUGUUGCGCUCCUCUACUCCUCCCCGGUUAAUGCUGCUGCUCUUGUGCUCCUCCACUCCUCCCCUGAUUCACAGCAAGCACCAUGUCCUCCCAGCCAGAGAUAUCCCAAGUUGUUCGAUCAGCUCAAGCUGCAGAAGAAGCUGAUGAGCACUAUGACCCAUUCAAAGAUCCUAAGAGGAGGCCAACAAAGAGCAAGGAUCCAGCAUGGAAAUAUGCAUUCUGGCCAGAUCUUAACAAGAGAUUGUUGCUGCAAUGUAAUUUGUGCGGCAAGCAAAUUACCUCUGGACCUUGUAGGAUGAAGAAACACCUUGCUGGGGGGUUUACAAUUGUGAGUAUGUGCACUAAUUAGGAUGAAGAAACACCUCUGGACCACUUCUUUGGUGGAAUGCUUAUGGUGGCCUUGCUUUUGACCUCCAAACUCUUGCAAAGCGAAUCAUUAGUCUAUGUUGUUCAGCAUCUGGCUGCGAGCGCAAUUGGAGUGUAUUUGCUCAUGUAAGUAGCAGCAGCAUCUGGCUGGUUUGAUAGGCUAAUUGCAGCAGCUUCUCA